UGUUCCCUUUCCCUUUCCCUCCUUUCUUUCUUUCUCUUCUCCCCUUCCCCUUUCUCUUCCAUCAUCGGCUUCCAAUAAAAGACGCAAACUUUUUCUUUCUUGGAAAGAUAAACAGGUUUAAACUUUUUGAGAGUGAUGCAGUUUACUCACCUUGAAAUUCUCAACUAGAAUUCAGAAUGGCAGAACAAAACGAUUCAGUUCCAACAAUUGCGGAA
rnacentral:ribozyme from 13 species